rnacentral:rRNA from 1 species
UACAGAGGUCUCAAGCGUUGUUCGGAUUCAUUGGGCGUAAAGGGUGCGUAGGCGGCGCGGUAAGUCGGGUGUGAAAUCUUGGAGCUUAACUCCGAAACUGCAUUCGAUACUGCCGUGCUUGAGGACUGGAGAGGAGACUGGAAUUUACGGUGUAGCGGUGAAAUGCGUAGAUAUCGUAAGGAAGACCGAGUGGCGAAGGCGGGUCUCUGGACAGUUCCUGAC